CCAGUCCUUGUCUUUGGGGAGCUCAGCGCUCAGGGAGCGUAUAGCGAGAGCGUUGCUGCUGACACCAAGAUAUAAAAAACCCCGCACCCGCACGAACUUACCUUCGCUGCUGAGUGCAAUUUUUGAAAGU